rnacentral:lncRNA from 1 species
CAGGACUUCGGGUGGAUGAUCUAUAGAGAUCGGACAUCCUGUGUGGCUAUAAGCAACCAGUAAGACCAUGAGAUUCAAAUGUGGUGAUCUACUAUCCAUGGUGAUGAGUUUUGAACUUAUUUAUUAUAGAUAUGAUCUAUGGUGUAGAUGUGAUCUACCAUUGAAUGUUUGAUAUGAUCAUGCAUGCAAAUUUUUAUUUUCAGAUCUCAUAUAUGUAAUAUAACAUAUUAUAGAUCCUAGGAUAGGUGUUUAAGAUUAGAUCUAAAGCAUGUUUAUUAGAUUAAAUAGUUUAAUCUGAUCUGUCUUUCACUUUAAAAUUUUUGAAAAGCAUGCUUAAAAUGCCUGUC